rnacentral:tRNA from 1 species
CGGGAUGUAGCGCAGUUUGGUUAGCGCGCCGUGUUCGGGACGCGGAGGUCGGAGGUUCGAAUCCUCUCAUCCCGACCA